AUUUUCUUCAAGAGACUUCAAGAAGAGAAAAGAAGAAAAAGAAACCUUGAGCUAGAGAGGGAGAAGGCCACAGAUUUGGAGAGAAAAAAGCCCAAAACGGACAGCAAGCAGUCCACGCAAUUUCAGCGCGUCUAGAGAAGUUCUGAGGCGAGUUUUGGCGAGUUUUGGCCAAUUUCGGGAAAGGUUAAGGAGGUAUCAAGGCAAGAUGGAUUUCAAUUAAUCCCGAAAAAGGUACAGGCGCACGCUUUGGGGAUCCGCCAGCUUAGGAUUUCACUCAGUAAAUUUGGAAGAAGCUCCAUUAAAUCGGAGCUGAGCUUUGGUACUAAACCUUAUGUUAAUUGUUAUACCCCACACUUUUGCAUAUUCAAAAAGAGAAAAAAAUAUUUUUGGA